UCCUGGCUCAGAACGAACGCUGGCGGCGUGGAUAAGACAUGCAAGUCGAACGGGACCAAGUCUGUAGUAAUACAAACUUGGUUCAGUGGCGCACGGGUGCGUAACACGUGAGCAAUCUGCCGGGAAGUGGGGGAUAGCUCGCCGAAAGGCGAAUUAAUACCGCAUGUGGCCAUUCUUCGAGUGGAGGAAAAGCCAAAGCAGCAAUGCGCUUCCUGAUGAGCUCGCGGCCUAUCAGCUCGAUGGCGGGGUAAUGGCCCACCAUGGCUUUGACGGGUAGCUGGUCUGAGAGGACGACCAGCCACACUGGAACUGAGACACGGUCCAGACACCUACGGGUGGCAGCAGUCGAGAAUUUUUCACAAUGGGGGCAACCCUGAUGGAGCGACGCCGCGUGGAGGAUGAAGGCCUUCGGGUCGUAAACUCCUGUCAUGCGGGAACAAGCAAGUGAUAGUACCGCAAGAGGAAGAGACGGCUAACUCUGUGCCAGCAGCCGCGGUAAUACAGAGGUCUCAAGCGUUGUUCGGAUUCAUUGGGCGUAAAGGGUGCGUAGGUGGUGAUGCAAGUCUGGUGUGAAAUCUCGGAGCUC
rnacentral:rRNA from 1 species